rnacentral:lncRNA from 1 species
CCCGCCACCACACCUUAAUCCCGGUUUGAUCCACCAACCGGGACUAAUGGGGAUACGAAUGGUUGCCGACCUAUUAGUCCCGGUUCUUGACUGGAACCGAGACAAAAGUGGUGAGACGAACCGGGACCAAUGACCCACGAUGCCUGGCCGGCGCCCUGGCCUCACGAACCGGGACCAAUGUCACCAUAGGUCUCAGUUCGUAUGUGAGGUGGCCUCUGCCUACCAACCGGGACGCAAACUCAGGGCUAGUGAAUCCGGACAGCCCGGAAGUCUUAUACUUUUCGUACUCUCCUCCACCCAAUGGAACUGGUUUCCUUUCUAGAUUCCUUCCCUUCCCUUCCUUCUUCUUCUUGCACUGGAAGAAUAUGUGUGUUUAUGGCGUCUAGUAGUGGAUAAAAAUUGCAUCAUCUUUUCCUUUUGGUAUGAUACGAGCGAGAAAAAAUUUGAGGAGGGGAGGAUAGAGACCACACAUGUUGAGCAACCUUGUAAUAACGGUUUGUGACCUCAUAUGAAUGUUUAUGUGCAAAAUGGUAUUCAUGCAUGGAUCCAAUAAGGAAUACAAACCUCGGGACUACAGAGUGAUUGACACACUGCGUGAGAAAGCCAAGAUGCAAGAUAUGUUUGCACGCACGCUUGGUCUAAUAGGGAUCGUCGGAGUUGUCGAGUGCAAGGGACGGAAGGAUCCACGAUGGAUGCGCUGAAGAGUUCUUGUGCUCUUUCUUGAUCGCACCCACCGACCGCAAAGCACCAGAAUCUCAAUAGUUCACAACAACUACAAGUCAAUAAGGUAACAGACAUAUUGCGAAGAAGGUGCGCCACACGUGUGACGAGUUGAUCGUGGGUUCCGUUAGCUAGAGAGUCCAAUCUAAAAUGUAGCAUUGUACAAAGAGAUUAUUUCCUGACGCCGUUCAUUCCCAAUAAUUUUAAUGAACCGACCAACUAGAAGGUUAUUUGUUUCUCUUGCAAUGCAACCAUGAAAAUGCUUGGUCAGUUGUAACUUUUUAACCAUAUAUUAGUUUGCAUCGUGCGCACAUCUCUGGUUAUAUAUAGGUGAGAACAGAUGUGUGCAACUAAAGGCAUGUAUUCCCUCCCUAUUUUCUUUAAAAGAGGAGUUGGUGAACACAAAUUAAUAUGCAAUCUUCUCACAAUAAUGAAUACGAGAGUGGUACAUGAGACAUACAUGUGAUCUUAAUCGAAGAAAAAGUAGUAACCCAAUCACCGUUUUUAGAGCAAGGAUUUACAUUGUUAUUCGACUUUCUUGCCUUACGAUGAAACUAGUUGUGCUAGUAACUGAAACAUGCUUGCAUGUUUCCGAAAAAUGCUCUAAACCAAAUGGGUCCUAAGUCGAUGGAAACUUUUCUCCAAAAGAUUACUGAAUAUGAUCCCUUAGGGAGUUUGGUACAAUUCCUACUCUUGAGAAGUGCAUUAGUCUAGGUACAAGUGAUUCUAUAAGCAUUUAGUUGCCAGGAUCCUAUGAUUCAAAUGGUUAUAUAGGAGAAGUUCCUACAUAAUGAAAUUCUCUAAGAAAUUUGUGAAAUUCCUUCGAUCCAAAGAGGCCAUGAGAAUUCGGUUUCUAUGAAUCAAACGAUGCACAUAGAAUAAUUCCCAUGGAUUUAAAAUUUUAAAAUAUGUUGCACUGUGCCCCAAAUGAAACGCAUUAGGCAUACUGAAAAGGUAAUCAAACGUAGUAGUACUACAAAUAAUUAAGAAGGGACCAUGAAAGGUCAUGUGCGGUCGUUGUUGCUUCAUGUUAAACAUGUUUCAAAUACAUAAGUAUAACGAGACAUAUGAUUUUCUCAACAUGCUAGAGUGGAUGAAAUGUUUCUAAUGAAGGCAAGUACAAAUGACAAAAAAAAUCUCGUCUACCUUAUGAUCACAUAAUUAAUUACCAAGAUGGAUUUUUUGAAGGAUUAACAUUCUCCAAAACUCCUUCGAGAAGUUAUUUGAAUCAAAGAGGUCCCGUAUCAAAAGUUUUUGAUUGAUGGAAGAAUCAUAGAUCAAGAGGAGAGGAGUCUCUAGAGUCUACACAUGUUGAUCAACUGCUGUAAUCAGAGUUUCCGACCAGGUACUACUAUUGCUCUAUACAAGAAAUGGGAUCACAUAGAAAUUGGCCAAACAAAUUGAUACACUGUAUGAAAGACAAAGGAUGCAUGAUAUGUGGUUGCAAAACAUUGGAAUUGUUGAGUACGAAACAUAGAAGGAUCCACGAUGAUGCACAUAACAUCAUCCAUUAUCUUUCUUUCCUUGAAACUACCACUCGCAACCACUAAAAACCUUGAUCAUCAACUGGAUCACAGUAAGAUAUCACACCUAAUGCAAUGAAGAUAUGGAGCUUUUGCACUACAUAUUAGUAUCAUCCUAAGAGACUAUUUUCCGGUGCCGCUCAUUCCCGACAUUUAUUCUAGACCAUCCUAUGUAGAUGGUGUUUACUUUCUCUUGCAAUGCAAACCAUGAAAAUGUUUGGUCGGUUGUAAAUUUCUCUCUAACUAUGUGUUUGCUUGCACCAUUAUAUACAGGUGAAAAGAGAUGUGAUCAACUAAACACAUAUAUAUAUUCUCUCCCUCUUGUCUCUGAAAUAUGAGUAGGUGAGCACAAGUUAAUAUAUGAUCUUCUAACAACAAUGAAUAUGAGUACGGUACAUAAGACAUUACAUGUGAUCUUAAUAAUCGAAGAAAAAGUUGUACCUCAAGACUUCCGUACUAACAUCACCGUUUUCAGUUGAAGGAUUAUUUUUUAUCUUCACCUUUCUUGCCUCACAACCAAACUACUUCUACUAAUAACUAAUACAUGCAUGCAAAUUUAAAUUUUUUCUCUAAACCAAGUGAGCCUUAUAGGUGGAUGGAAACUUUCCUCCAAAAUAGAGUACAAAUGUAUGAUCCAAAUGUGCAUUAGUUUAGGUACAAAUGAUUUUAUAAGAGCGUGUUGGUUAUCAUCCCGGUGAAGCGUGGCUCAAAGGGGGUUGUUUAAGUGUAUACGUGCAAAAAAAAACUAACAUAUGCACAUUGUUUGAUCAUCUGCAUUUAGGCCUCUUGCAUGAGAGGAGCAAUUUUCACAUAGCGUUUGGUGUCUUGCAUUUGCUCGGAUCAUGCAACUACAUGUGGUUUGGUUGUAUACAUGGGAUAUAACUAAGAGCUAACACUUACCAUUAGCAUACAAGGUUACACUGUGCCUCGCAACUUCGGUGGGUGGUGACCGUGGUGCCUCGUCCUACAUGAAGAGAAGGGAGUCUCAAGAGAGAGUUCUUGCGGACAUCGUGGAGAACUAGUUGCUAGCAUCGUCUCCCCAGAGAAAGUUAAAGUGGAGGAGCAUUGAGCCCGAGGACGGGGGAGAAGGAAUGCACUGCGUGUCAGACCAUGACGACUGUGGUGGACGGUGGUUGUGGCGCCGUGUCCUACAUGACGAGCAUAGAGUCAUCGACGAGCGACCCUAUCGGCGGACGAAGAACUAGUUGCUAGUGUGUCGCUAGAGAGAAAGUUCGCACAGGGACAAAGGAGAAAUGAGGAGAAAUGCAUCU